rnacentral:rRNA from 1 species
UGGGGAAUUUUGGGCAAUGGGCGAAAGCCUGACCCAGCAAUGCCGCGUGCAGGAUGAAGGCCUUCGGGUUGUAAACUGCUUUUGUACGGAACGAAACGGCGAGCUCUAAUAAAGUUUGCUAAUGACGGUACCGUAAGAAUAAGCACCGGCUAACUACGUGCCAGCAGCCGCGGUAAUACGUAGGGUGCGAGCGUUAAUCGGAAUUACUGGGCGUAAAGCGUGCGCAGGCGGUUAUAUAAGACAGAUGUGAAAUCCCCGGGCUCAACCUGGGACCUGCAUUUGUGACUGUAUAGCUAGAGUACGGUAGAGGGGGAUGGAAUUCCGCGUGUAGCAGUGAAAUGCGUAGAUAUGCGGAGGAACACCGAUGGCGAAGGCAAUCCCCUGGACCUGUACUGACGCUCAUGCACGAAAGCGUGGGGAGCAAACAGGAUUAGAUACCCAAGUAGUCCCUGAGCGGGCUGGCAAGGCGCAU